UAAACACAACAUAUGAAAAACUAACUUUUUACAUUAACCCAUCAACUAUAUUGAAUAUCACACUACGCCACCGUCACAAGCCAAGGAAAUUGUGGACGUCGCAAGCCAUGUCCUAUGAUGUCCGAGCCGCCAUUGACCUCACACCAAAUAGAGGAAUCCUUUCGAUCAUCCUACACCACAACAAAGACAUAGAAACAUAUUUGAGCAAGCGCAAAAACCCUUACGGUGGUAAAGAAACAUGUUUUAGUACGUGCGAAAACCUUAUAGCUGCAAGAAACACAUAAACAUGUCUUAGUAGGCACAAAACAAUGUAAAACACCCAAUAAAAUCCUACCCUGUGGGAGAUUAUUUUAUCCAAAAUCAUGCCAACCCCAAACCGAACCUGAAUAGUAAACAAGACAAAUUUUUGUUCUAGUCAGAUAAUGUGCUCCAAUAAUGCAUAGAAAUGUCGUUCGAUAAUGUAUAAAAUUAUGCUCCAAUAAUACAUAGAUUUUUUUAAACAAUGUAUAAAAAGAAGCAUGAAUUACUAAUGAUCAUUAAUUGUCUAGUAUUUUUAGAAAUCAAUAUUGACCAUCAUAAAUAAAUAUUUUAAUUAAUCAGAUUGCCAAAUCAUAAUUUAGUAUGCAUAGAAACUUAUGUAUGCAAGCAUAAAAAUAGUGUCUCUAAAUGGAUUCAUCAAAUUACAUAGAAAACCAUGUUUACUAGAGAUGUGGGGAGGUCACCGUUGUUGGAUGCAAGAUGGGGACUAUGGUCACUGAGGAAGAGGCGCAGCUGCCAUUACCGAAGAUGUUGGGGAAGGGGUCAGGGGCUCGACGCUCAUGGCCUGG
rnacentral:lncRNA from 1 species